UACGUAGGGUGCGAGCGUUAAUCGGAUUUACUGGGCGUAAAGGGCGCGUAGGCGGUCAGCACAAGUCAGUUGUGAAAUCUCCGGGCUUAACUCGGAAAGGUCAACUGAUACUGUGCGACUAGAGUGCAGAAGGGGCAACUGGGAAUUCUCGGUGUAGCGGUGAAAUGCGUAGAUAUCGAGAGGAACACCUGCGGCGAAGGCGGGUUGCUGGGCUGACACUGACGCUGAUGCGCGAAAGCCAGGGGAGCAAACGGG
rnacentral:rRNA from 1 species